rnacentral:lncRNA from 1 species
GUGAGCCUCCCACGUCUCCUCAGAAGACUCGGGGGGAGGGGUGCAAAGAAAACGGACCCUGCUCCAUCUGCCACCCUGGAACUGGAUUGGCACCGAGGGCACCAGUAGAGCAGGCUUUCGAGAAUGGGCAUGAGCCUGGGAUCCCUAUCUCCUGGGAGGGUCCGAGACUCAGGGCUACCUCUUUGAGUUUCGAUCAUGGGGAAAUCCGAAAGCCAAAUGGGUAUUGUGGAGAAAUCGACCAGAUCCAGGAAGAAGCCCUGGAGCGUCCUGGAGCUGGGACUGGCAGUGCUAUUGCUUCUCAUGACAUGUUCCUCGGUCACACUGGUGAUCCUCUACAUGGAAGUCAAGGACCCCAGAAUUGCUACCAGUUUUGAAGAAAUCUGUGUCCACCC